GACGAACGCUGGCGGCGUGCUUAACACAUGCAAGUCGAACGGAAAGGCCCUGCUUUUGUGGGGUGCUCGAGUGGCGAGCGGGUGAGUAACACGUGAGUAACCUGCCCUUGACUUUGGGAUAACUUCAGGAAACUGGGGCUAAUACCGGAUAGGAGCUCCUGCUGCAUGGUGGGGGUUGGAAAGUUUCGGCGGUUGGGGAUGGACUCGCGGCUUAUCAGCUUGUUGGUGGGGUAGUGGCUUACCAAGGCUUUGACGGGUAGCCGGCCUGAGAGGGUGACCGGCCACAUUGGGACUGAGAUACGGCCCAGACUCCUACGGGAGGCAGCAGUGGGGAAUAUUGCACAAUGGGCGGAAGCCCGAUGCAGCAACGCCGCGUGCGGGAUGACGGCCUUCGGGUUGUAAACCGCUUUCGCCUGUGACGAAGCGUGAGUGACGGUAAUGGGUAAAGAAGCACCGGCUAACUACGUG
rnacentral:rRNA from 1 species